rnacentral:rRNA from 1 species
CGGGGGGAGCAAGCGUUGUUCGGAUUUACUGGGCGUAAAGGGCGCGUAGGCGGCCACCGCAAGUCGACUGUGAAAUCUCCGGGCUUAACCCGGAGAGGUCAGCCGAUACUGCGGGGCUAGAGUGCAGAAGGGGCAACUGGAAUUCUCGGUGUAGCGGUGAAAUGCGUAGAUAUCGAGAGGAACACCUGCGGCGAAGGCGGGUUGCUGGGCUGACACUGACGCUGAUGCGCGAAAGCUAGGGGAGCGAACGGGAUUAGAUACCCCGGUAGUCCUAGCCUUAAACGAUGAAUGCUUGGUGUCUGGGGUUUUAUAGUCCCCGGGUGCCGUCGCUAACGCUUUAAGCAUUCCGCCUGGGGAGUACGGUCGCAAGACUG